rnacentral:rRNA from 1 species
GUGGGGAAUUUUGGACAAUGGGCGCAAGCCUGAUCCAGCAAUGCCGCGUGCAGGAAGAAGGCCUUCGGGUUGUAAACUGCUUUUGUACGGAACGAAACGGUCCUGGCUAAUAUCCGGGGCUAAUGACGGUACCGUAAGAAUAAGCACCGGCUAACUACGUGCCAGCAGCCGCGGUAAUACGUAGGGUGCGAGCGUUAAUCGGAAUUACUGGGCGUAAAGCGUGCGCAGGCGGUGCUGUAAGACAGGCGUGAAAUCCCCGGGCUCAACCUGGGAAUUGCGGUUGUGACUGCAGUGCUGGAGUGCGGCAGAGGGGGAUGGAAUUCCGCGUGUAGCAGUGAAAUGCGUAGAUAUGCGGAGGAACACCGAUGGCGAAGGCAAUCCCCUGGGCCUGCACUGACGCUCAUGCACGAAAGCGUGGGGAGCAAACAGGAUUAGAAACCCCAGUAGUCC